rnacentral:misc_RNA from 1 species
AACGCACGAGACCUGCGGACCUGCGGAGGAUCAUUACCGAGUUUACAACUCCCAAACCCAAUGUGAACGUUACCAAACUGUUGCCUCGGCGGGAUCUCUGCCCCGGGUGCGUCGCAGCCCCGGACCAAGGCGCCCGCCGGAGGACCAACCAAAACUCUUUUGUAUACCCCCUCGCGGGUUUUUAUAUCUGAGCCAUCUCGGCGCCUCUCGUAGGCGUUUCGAAAAUGAAUCAAAACUUUU